rnacentral:tRNA from 1 species
GCCUGGAUGGUCUAGUGGUAUGAUUCUCGCUUAGGGUUCAAAACUUCCUAAGUUCUAAUAUGCGAGAGGUCCCAGGUUCAAAUCCUGGUUCAGGCC